AUGCACGCUGGCGGCGUGCCUAAUACAUGCCAGUCGAGCGAACAGAUGAGGAGCUUGCUCCUCUGACGUUAGCGGCGGACGGGUGAGUAACACGUGGAUAACCUACCUAUAAGACUGGGAUAACUUCGGGAAACCGGAGCUAAUACCGGAUAAUAUAUUGAACCGCAUGGUUCAAUAGUGAAAGACGGUUUUGCUGUCACUUAUAGAUGGAUCCGCGCCGCAUUAGCUAGUUGGUAAGGUAACGGCUUACCAAGGCAACGAUGCGUAGCCGACCUGAGAGGGUGAUCGGCCACACUGGAACUGAGACACGGUCCAGACUCCUACGGGAGGCAGCAGUAGGGAAUCUUCCGCAAUGGGCGAAAGCCUGACGGAGCAACGCCGCGUGAGUGAUGAAGGUCUUCGGAUCGUAAAACUCUGUUAUUAGGGAAGAACAAAUGUGUAAGUAACUAUGCACGUCUUGACGGUACCUAAUCAGAAAGCCACGGCUAACUACGUG
rnacentral:rRNA from 1 species